rnacentral:rRNA from 1 species
UACGUAGGUCGCAAGCGUUGUCCGGAAUUAUUGGGCGUAAAGAGCUCGUAGGCGGCUUGUCGCGUCGAAUGUGAAAACUUGGGGCUCAACUCCAAGCUUGCAUUCGAUACGGGCAGGCUAGAGUUCGGUAGGGGAGACUGGAAUUCCUGGUGUAGCGGUGAAAUGCGCAGAUAUCAGGAGGAACACCGGUGGCGAAGGCGGGUCUCUGGGCAACAACUGACGCUGAGGAGCGAAAGCGUGGGGAGCGAACAGG